GGUUGCUCCCUUUGUUAAGUGAUGGGAGAGAGAUAAGAGAGAUACCCAUCGGAGUGCUAGGUGCACGGAUAGGGUCUCUGUUAAAGAGGUGGCCACCCUCUCGCCAGCCCCAGGGGCCGAUGUGCCGCAGCAGGACUGCACGUCCCCCUUCCUCCCCAGCCACGUGGAUGCCGUUCCCUGGCGGUGGCACGGUGCCAUCAGCCACAGCGUGCUCGCCGGAGUGCAGAGGCUCUGCAAGGUCUGGGUGCGAGAUUAGGGCAGAUCCUUACUCGUUCGUCUCCCAGCCAGCUCAGGCAGACACCCGAGGCCGUGGGACCGGAAUGCUCUGACCUGAAUACAGCCAGGCACUGUCCCUCCAAGCCCGGUCCUCGCCUGCCUCCACCACUUUGCUUUGCUCCGUUUCAGCUGUGCAUCCUUAAAUGAUUCAGGGGCUCCGGGCCAAAGGGCUCUUUGCCCCGCUGGGCUGAUCCUGAAGAGAACGGGUGAUGUGCCAGGAGGUCUGGGAGGCGAAUGUCAUUUCAUCACUGUUCUCCCGGGAGAGAUUUUUUCUUUCUCUUUGAAUAAACUCCUUUUGAGGUGUGUGCAGUGGCAAUAUCCUGGCGCAGAUUUAAUCACAGUACUACUGGCAGCAUUGACACAGACUAAGUGUCAGCAUGGUAAGUUCAAAGAACCCCAAGUCUGUGUGAACAGACAUUUGCUGGUUUACAUCCAGGCUAGAAAGGACAGUGCCUGUUACUUCUUCCUGCCAUGAGAAAUAUUGUGAAGGUCUACAAGCAGCCUCUGCAGAGUCAGAGCUGGCACCAUGCUUGAUGCUGGUGUUGGAAAGCUGAACUCCCCAAAAGUGAACUUCCUCUCCUACUAUAAACUGACCCUUGGGGUUGCUAUAGCGACUGCAGAGCGGCCAGCGGGCUGUGUAAACACUCCCUCCCGCUUCCCAUCACACCGGGCCUGAAAGGCUGAGCCACGGGAUGUGCACAGCAACCUGGAUUAUGCAGGCGGUUGUGAAAUGCAAACCCGACAAUUUCUCUGCUUCCUCCCUGCUUCCCCUGCGGGGAGGCAAACCCAGCAGGCUGGUAGCAGGCAGAAACACGCCCGUCCUGACGAAUUUGGGCACUUGGUGUGGUACCGCAGAAACCAAAUCCAGACACUUACCUGGGGAGCUUGAGCAAGAUGUGGAAAUAUAUGGUGCAACUGGAUCCUCUGCAACAUCUGAUUCCCUCGGCCUCACUAACUGUGGAGUUUCCAGCUGUGUGGGGGGAGCAGUUUGGUACACACUGUCACAGCUCCUUCUAUGUAAUUAAUUGCAACAAUCGACCGAGUGUGAAAUCCAUCAAUUUCUGUGUCCUCUGCUGCUCACUUUGAUGUCAGCUCUUUAAUUUUCUUCCUUCUUUUCUCUUUUUUUUUUUUUAAUGCAUUUCAUUAAGUCCCUGACUCUCUGAGUCACUCUCCAAACGUUUAUGUUCUUGUCUGUAUCCAUCCCUGUAACACCAGGUUGGGUAUGUCAGCAGCUGUAGCCUGAGCAGCACACUGAAGCAUGUGGGAAGGUGUUUCCCAAGCACAGCAGGAUAUGCAUCCCCUCCAGCCACUGCAGAUGUUCUUCCAAAAUGGCAGGUACUGCCUAGCCAGGGAUUUUGUGAGAGGCAAGCUUAACUACCCUACCAGGAGGAGAUAACCAGCUCUGCUCCCAUGGCAUUGUGAUGCAUCUUGCUGGGUUGUCUCCAAGAAAUAAGGUUGCUGUCCCACAACAACAGACCUGUGCUUGAAAAAAGCACGAAGCACAUCAUCUCAAAUGUGUGUAAAAUGAAGCGCCUGCUCCAAUGCUGUCUGAAGGGGUCAUUCAGAAGUGCCAGGCAUCCUGCAAAACACCCAUCUCUGCCAACUGCCAACACACUCUUUUGUUUCACUGUUAAGAGACUUCCUGGCACAAGGAUGGAUGCACUUUUGUGAUCUCAUCUUUUUAUGUGUGCUGGGUGUCACUGACCAGGCUGAUCGACAUGUACCUUUGAUCAGACACCCUGCUAUACAAUCACAAGCUGUCUGGGAAUUCCCUGGAUUUCCAUCCUUUCUGCCACAUCAGAGACCAUACGCAGCCUCUGUUAAGCAAGGUACUGGCAAAGGCGGAAGAGACGGAGAUUUCUGGAACAGUGCUUGUCUGUAAUCCUAAAAUGUCCCUCUAAUCCCAGCUUGUGACUCAGAGCUGGGGGGAUGCAGAGGGUCAGUGUGGUCUGCUCACCCACUGCAGUGAGUCAUUACACCCCAAAGAGAAAAGGAGCCUUAAAGCCUCCCUCUGAUUGUUGUGAAUGAGGGCAACGGGACAUGUUGCACAAAGUAUGCUAAAUCAAGGGCAUUUGAUAUGCAUUUUGUUACAGUACUCAGUCCCUAUAGUGUCUCACUUAACAGAUGGCAGGAGCUGAAUCUGAUUAAACAGGGUUUUCUGAAUCACUCGCAGAGACAACUGAGAGGCAGGCAGAGGCAUACAGCAACGCACAGCUCUGAGAGCCUCCUAGAUCUCAGUGGGUUUGCACUUCUCCAUUCACUCUGUGCCUGCUUUAUUACAGCAUUUAAA